rnacentral:rRNA from 1 species
UACGGGGGGGGCAAGCGUUGUUCGGAAUUACUGGGCGUAAAGGGCUCGUAGGCGGCCAACUAAGUCAUACGUGAAAUCCCUCGGCUUAACCGGGGAACUGCGUCUGAUACUGGAUGGCUUGAGUUCGGGAGAGGGAUGCGGAAUUCCAGGUGUAGCGGUGAAAUGCGUAGAUAUCUGGAGGAACACCGGUGGCGAAGGCGGUUCUCUGGGCCUGUACUGACGCUGAGGAGCGAAAGCGUGGGGAGCGAACAGG